rnacentral:rRNA from 1 species
AUUGAACGCUGGCGGAAUGCUUUACACAUGCAAGUCGAACGGCAGCACGGACUUCGGUCUGGUGGCGAGUGGCGAACGGGUGAGUAAUGUAUCGGAACGUGCCCAGUCGUGGGGGAUAACGUAGUGAAAAUUACGCUAAUACCGCAUACGAUCUAUGGAUGAAAGCGGGGGAUCGCAAGACCGCGCGCGAUUGGAGCGGCCGAUAUCAGAAUAGGUAGUUGGUGGGGUAAAGGCCCACCAAGCCAACGAUCUGUAGCUGGUCUGAGAGGACGACCAGCCACACUGGAACUGAGACACGGUCCAGACUCCUACGGGAGGCAGCAGUGGGGAAUUUUGGACAAUGGGCGAAAGCCUGAUCCAGCCAUUCUGCGUGCAGGAUGAAGGCCCUCGGGUUGUAAACUGCUUUUGUACAGAACGAAAAGGUUUCUACUAAUACUAGGAGCUCAUGACGGUACUGUAAGAAUAAGCACCGGCUAACUACGUGCCAGCAGCCGCAGUAA